AGUACACUAGUGUAAAAUGGAACCGCUUCAAAUGACUUCUCAUUUUGCAGUGGGGAGGGGGAAACGCUGCACUGAGUGAAGACAAUGGCUCUUCCCCCCCACCCCCAGCUAUCACUUUGUUAUCUGAGUACUACCUCACUUGCUUGCUAAAGUGUAAAGCCACUGCCACCAGAUGUCAACAUUUAAGGGGAGAAUCCACAGGAGCUGCAAAAUGUUCAGACAAAUAUGAUUAUCUAGUUAACAGCAUCCCUCUAAAUGAAUGUUGCAUGGACAUUCUGCUUCAGAGAUCCAUAAUGCUGUCCAGAGGCAGAGAAGGUGGAGAUCAUAAAAUCAAAGCAAUAUUCAAUGGUAAGAAAAUCUCAAGGCUUUCGUCAAUGGGGGGAAAAGUUGCAGAAUAGCUUAUAACAAACUAUGAACUUAAAGUAUUACUUCAAUUUUCUUCUCUUGAGUCUAGCAGUGCAUGACAAAAAAAAAGUCAAGUCUCUGGAACAUUUUCACAAUGAGAAUAUGUAAAUAAAUUACCCACUUAUGUUGACUGAUGAGUGUUAUUUUGGUUGAAAACAAUGCAAGUCACCCUCACUUUACAAAACAAUAUAUAUCAAUAAAAUGAGUC